rnacentral:rRNA from 1 species
GACGAACGCUGGCGGCGUGCUUAACACAUGCAAGUCGAACGGAAAGGCCCUGCUUUUGUGGGGUGCUCGAGUGGCGAACGGGUGAGUAACACGUGAGUAACCUGCCCUUGACUUUGGGAUAACUUCAGGAAACUGGGGCUAAUACCGGAUAGGAGCUCCUGCUGCAUGGUGGGGGUUGGAAAGUUUCGGCGGUUGGGGAUGGACUCGCGGCCUAUCAGCUUGUUGGUGGGGUAGUGGCUUACCAAGGCUUUGACGGGUAGCCGGCCUGAGAGGGUGACCGGCCACAUUGGGACUGAGAUACGGCCCAGACUCCUACGGGAGGCAGCAGUGGGGAAUAUUGCACAAUGGGCGGAAGCCUGAUGCAGCAACGCCGCGUGCGGGAUGACGUCCUUCGGGUUGUAAACCGCUUUCGCCUGUGACGAAGCGUGAGUGACGGUAAUGGGUAAAGAAGCACCGGCUAACUACGUG